UACGUAGGUGGCAAGCGUUAUCCGGAUUUACUGGGUGUAAAGGGCGAGUAGGCGGGAUUGCAAGUCAGAUGUGAAAACUAUGGGCUCAACCCAUAGACUGCAUUUGAAACUGCAGUUCUUGAGUGAUGGAGAGGCAGGCGGAAUUCCCGGUGUAGCGGUGGAAUGCGUAGAUAUCGGGAGGAACACCAGUGGCGAAGGCGGCCUGCUGGACAUUAACUGACGCUGAGGCGCGAAAGCGUGGGGAGCAAACAGG
rnacentral:rRNA from 2 species